CUGAUCGGGACGUAUUCGGGUGGACGUUUCUGUGCAAACGAGCCCGGGUCCGGCGGGUAAAUACACCCCCGCAGAGGACGCGCCCCGCUAUCAG
rfam:Methanoculleus sp. SDB scaffold-2173, whole genome shotgun sequence.